rnacentral:rRNA from 1 species
UGGGGAAUUGUUCGCAAUGGGCGCAAGCCUGACGACGCAACGCCGCGUGGAGGAUGAAGGUCUUCGGAUUGUAAACUCCUGUUGACCGGGAAGAAUUCCCCCGGGGUUAACACCCCUGGAGGUUGACGGUACCGGUUGAGGAAGCCCCGGCUAACUCUGUGCCAGCAGCCGCGGUAAUACAGAGGGGGCAAGCGUUGUUCGGAAUUACUGGGCGUAAAGGGCGCGUAGGCGGCCGACUAAGUCAGACGUGAAAUCCCCUGGCUCAACCCGGGAACUGCGUCUGAUACUGGCUGGCUUGAAUCCGGGAGAGGGAUGUGGAAUUCCAGGUGUAGCGGUGAAAUGCGUAGAUAUCUGGAGGAACACCGGUGGCGAAGGCGGCAUCCUGGACCGGUAUUGACGCUGAGGCGCGAAAGCCAGGGGAGCAAACGGGAUUAGAUACCCCGGUAGUCCUGGCCCUAAACGAUGAAUGCUUGGUGUGGUGGGUAUCGAUCCCUGCCGUGCCGAAGCUAACGCAUUAAGCAUUCCGCCUGGGGAGUACGGUCGCAAGGCUG